rnacentral:rRNA from 1 species
ACUAUGCUUGGCCCUAAACCUCAGUAGUUAGAUAACAAAACUACUCGCCAGAAUACUACGAGCUACAGCUUAAAACUCAAAGGACUUGACGGUGCUUUACACCCCCUAGAGGAGCCUGUUCCGUAAUCGAUAAACCCCGAUCCACCCCACCCUCUCUUGCUCAGCCUAUAUACCGCCAUCUUCAGCAAACCCUAAUGAAGGUCACAAAGUGAGCGCAAACGCCGUCACCGCGAAUACGUUAGGUCAAGGUGUAGCCUAUGAGAUGGUAAAAAAUGGGCUACAUUUUCUACCUCAGAAAAUUCCACGAAAACCCUUAUGAAAUUUAAGGGCCCAAGGAGGAUUUAGCAGUAAAUUAAGAAUAGAGUGCUUAAUUGAACCAGGCCAUAAAGCGCGCACACACCGCCCGUCACUCCUCUCAAAUAUAUUUAAGGAACAUCCUAACUAAACGCCCUAAUAUUUAUAUAGAGAGGAUAAGUCGUAACAUGGUAAGCGUACUGGAAGGUGCGCUUGGAUAAAU